GUGAGUAUAGCUCAGUGGUAAAGUACAUGCUUAGGAUGAACGAGGUCUUGGGUUCAAUUCCCAAUACCUCCA
rnacentral:tRNA from 1 species